AAGAACUACGUAGUGGCUUGAUCCAAAUUUGACUUUUUGGGUACGUAGGUAGCCGUUUGUAAUGUACUAGAAUAUCGGUGCAGCCACAAAUCUUUUUUCUCCUUUGAAUUGUAACAGACUGUAUCGGUUGCAUUUUUCUCUAUCAUACAGGUUGUGGCUAUCAAAGAUAUAAUAUCACCUCCUUAUAGGGAAACAUUUAAUGAUGUGUACAGAGUAAAGGUAGCGAUAGAAAUUGUUGGUCGAUUGUGGCUUGUAGACAAAGGGAUGAGUAACCAACAAUACAAAUAUGGGAGGCCUUCCCCAGGUA